GGCCGUCUAGCUCAGUUGGUUAGAGCGCCGUGCUAAUAUCCAGAAACUUAACAUUUUCCAUUACGCGGAGGUCUUGGGUUCGACCCCCACGAUGGCCA